rnacentral:rRNA from 1 species
UACGGAGGAUGCAAGCGUUAUCCGGAUUUACUGGGUGUAAAGGGAGCGUAGACGGCGAUGCAAGCCAGAUGUGAAAGCCCGGGGCUCAACCCCGGGACUGCAUUUGGAACUGUGUGGCUGGAGUGUCGGAGAGGCAAGUGGAAUUCCUAGUGUAGCGGUGAAAUGCGUAGAUAUUAGGAGGAACACCAGUGGCGAAGGCGGCUUGCUGGACGAUGACUGACGUUGAGGCUCGAAAGCGUGGGGAGCAAACAGG